AAGCAAUGGCCUUUUGUCUCCUUAUUGCUUACGAGAACCACGGCCAACCCAAUUCAAUUGAUAGAUUGGAAAAUAGCAAUUGCUCAAGUCAACAGAAGAUGAAAAGCAAUACUAGAAAAUGUCGACAAUGGUGGCUUUGUUCUCCCCCCCUUUACAAAGCUGCGGGGGCCGCCUUUUAAACGCAUCCCCCCUAAACCUAAGUCACGCGAGAAUACUUAAUUCUUCCUCGGUUGUGGUCCCCAGUUCCAGGAAGGGAUUUUUCCUUUUUUAGAAAUUGUUCUUUUUCCCAAAAUUAAAACAAGACUCUCUCAAAAUAUAAUAAAAUAAAAUCUAUUACAAUUAGAUUUCUUCAGUUUCUCAAACGGGCCCCACGUACAAUGAAUCUUCUAAAAGUUGAAUUUAAGUACUUUUCAGCAUCCAUUCCUGCAAUUAGCAUCAAAACAAAAUAUCAGUAGAAUCCACCCAAUUAAUGAAAAUAUUUAGUCAAUUAAUUGUGCAAUAAUGCCCAAAAUACCCACUAAAAUGCACUCUAUCAAUCUCCCCCACACCUGAAAUAUGCUUGUCCUCAAGCAUAAUUAACUCAGAAAUGCAAUAAAGAUGCUAAGCAAACCACAGCAGUUCAUACCAAGAAUGGUAUUCCAAAUUCCCCAAUAACCUCAUCGAAAUCAGAGUAUACCAAAUCAACAAUUCUCACCGUUUAAAGUGCACUCAAUCACUCCAAAAUGUAUAUGAGAUGUAUAUAAGAUAACUCUCAAAUCAACACAAUAGAAUGACACUACCAUAAGUUUGCUCAUAUAUCAUAUUUCCACCACUUACUAAUGAAUUUAAAUGCAGCAAUCAAGGGACUUUAAAAGGUUGUAAUGACUAGGGUGAGAAGGUAGGAUAAAAAUGAGUCAAAAGGGUGUAAAAGUAUAAAGAAAGUGCCCAGAAAUUCAUUACAUAGAUUCUUGCACAUUUGAAACUUAAAGGCAUCUCAACCAUCACACAAGUGAAGUAAAUUAGCACUUGUCACAACUUUCGACUUUUUCUUUCUCCUCUUUUCAUUCAUCUACUUCCCUUCUCCUUUUUUUCUUUUUUUUUUGUUUUUUUUUUCAAUAACUCCCAACCAACACCAUAAAAAUCAACUUUACUUGUUGAUUUCCUGCACUUUGUCUUCUUUUCACAUUUCCCCUUCUUUUUUUUUUUUGUGUUUUCACCUCUCUUUUUUUUCAUAGGUGUAAUGCCUCUCAAAUAAUACUCCAAAAUUCUGUAUAAUGAAAUCAAAGCACUUCUUCACAUGAGAUUCAAAAAGAAAGUCUAAAAGGAGAUUUUACGGCUAAAAACUAGGGUCUCAAGCAAAGAAUAAGGGUUAAGACUCAACUUGGCUCCCUAGUGGUAACUAAUCCAAGGGUUGGUUUUAAGAAAGUCCAAAAAUGGCUCAUUCCUAGGUGCCCUAUCAUUUCAAUGCAUUAAACUCAUUUAAAUGUGGUCUUGACAUGCAUAACCGAGCAAGUUCUAGAAUGACAAACCAUGUGCACUAAUCACUCAACAAACGAAAAAUUAGGCCCAAAAAUCGCACAAGUGAUCAAAUUUAUGCCAAAUUCAGCAUAUUCAUCAAUCAAUUCAUCAUCGAGGAAAAUAGAGCACCCAAUGGUAUGAACUUACUACUCGUACUCAUAUCUCAAUUGCAUUCAUCACAAUUUGAAGAAAGGGACUACUAAGGCAAGGAAAAAUUUAAUCAGACAACUAAAAAUGCAACCAAAGCAUAGUUAACCCUCCCCCACACCUAAACCUUACAUUGCCCUCAAUGUAAGCAAAGAAAGAGCAAAACAGAGAUAUUGGGGCAACGACACUUCCCUUAAAACGGAGGAAGGCAGAACUGAACUACAGCUGUGGCGGGAAAGGUGGGCGGAAACUCACGUGAUGAAGAUACUGUGCUAAAUUCUAGGCCAUCCCGCCCAUUUGACGCUCCAUCCGCUCCAUACGAGUGUCCAUUUGCUCGUGCCCUUAUUUUUUUGAUUUAGUCAUUGGAAAUCAGAGGGCAGGGUGGAGGCAAGGAAAUGGGAUUCCAAAGAGGUCAACAAACAGCCAACAAAGCAAAUGACAACUAAAUACAGCUUCCAAUCACAGACAAGUGCAGAAACGACCGAUGAACACACCCCCAAGAAUUAAUUAAACCUGUCAGCAGCAAAAUUUUUUCCAAAUACCACAAAUUCAACCCAAAAAUCAAUUAAUUAGGUAAGCACAACAAUUUUUCCCCAAAAAUUAAUUAAACAGGUAGUCAGAGUAAAAACAUCCCCCAAAUAUCACCGGUCGAGCACAAAAUUUCACAAAUAGACCACAAUGAACCACAGAUAUAUUACAGCACCCAAAUAGCACAAAAUCUCUGUCCUCAGCUAGCAACUUAAAAAUCUGGCCUCAGCUAAGAAAUUAAAAUCUGGCAUCAGCUAAUAAAAGCUAGUAAUCUGGUCUCAGCUACUUAGAGACAGAAAAAUAAAGAAAGAAUUCACCGGAGGUUUGAAUGGCUGUGGGUGAAAUGGAGGGCAGGGGAGGACCCAGCACCGUGCGUGCGUCAAACGCGCGCUGGCAAACACGCCGAGGUCGCGCGUUAUGGGCGCUGCUGCGGCUGAGUUGCUGCUCGAUCUGCCUGGAGGUGAACUGGAGCUGGAGAUUGAGCGAAAGGGGUAGGCUACGCGAAAGGGGGCAACUACAGCUGAGUCGCGUAGAGGGAGGCGCGCGACUGGUGGUUCGCGCGCACGGCGGCGCUCAAAAGCUGCGCGCCUGGCUGCUGGUGCUGGAGCUCUCGCGAGCUACUAGCUUGCGCGCAAAUCUGGUGGGUGUUCGCGCCUGGAACUUGCGUGCAGGGGUUGCGUGAGAAGGAGCUGCUGGUGGCGAAACGCGGCUGGGCAGCGGGCGCGAUGGGCGGCCGUGUGGCGCGCGGCGAUCUUGCAGCAUGCAAAGUGGCAGCGGCGGACAAGGAGAAAAGAAGGAAGAAGAAGGAGAAAAAGAAAGAAAAGGAAGAAGAAAGAAAAGAAAGAAAAUGAAAAAGAGAGAAAGAGGGAAAGAGUAGGGCUGCGGGUCCUUUGAAAAAAAAAAUUUUUUUUUUUACUCAAGGAACCUCUGGUUUAGGCGUGGGCACGCCUAACUGCCCCUAGUCUUUUGACCAUUCGUCGAAAAUUUUUUUAUCCUUUAGCGUGAUCACCGAACGUGGGCAUGUCUAACUACUACAGAAUCUUCUGACUGCGGACGAAAAUUUUCUUCUCUCAAACGUGACCACCUGGCGUGGGCACGUCUAAUUGCCACUUUCCUGCCACCAAGCAACAAAUCACUAAAUGCAACUAACACUUAACAAAAACUCCAAAAACAUAAGAAAAUUAAAACAAAAGCCUUGGGUUGCCUCCCAAGCAGCGCCUUCCUUUAAUGUCUUUGGCUAGACAUUGUCCUGUUUAUUCAUGGAGGAUAAAAUCGCGUAACUUGCUUCAGUGCUUCAUCUUCUAUGUAAUCCUGAUAGCCCUCGUAAAUAGAGUAAUUCUUGAGCACACGAGCUACGGGCUUCCAUGGACAAGUAAAUGGUACCAAACAAUCAAGUAAUGACCUUAAAUCUUCAUUCACUCCUCCAUAACAAGCACUUACUGGUUUGAGAUAUUUUGCUAUCGUGAUUCUUAACUUGUUCUUGUCAUGAAACUCAAAAUUUUCUGGUAUAAUUAAAUCAAUCUCACUAACAGGAAUUAAAGAAUAAGAGUCAGGAAAAUAUUGAUCGAGGAAUGGAGGAGAUGUCACCGCAUUUGGAGAUUGUUCACUGGAUUCAUUCACUUGAACCAUUUGAUGUUGGGGUCUCAAUUCUUGUGCUUCAACUUUCUUUUCAUCUGCAUCUUUAGAUUCUUCUUCUUGAGACUCUUGCAGUACCAUGUCAUUCGUCAGGAUAAUUGCACUCUCAUCUUCCUCAUGGUCGAUAAUAGUUUGUGAGGGCAAUUCUUCAUUCAUUCGAGAAGCCAAUGGCGUUAUCCUAAAUGUCAAUUGAUCCAUUUGAUCUACUAGGUUACGCCUGCUCACUUGUGUCUCCUAAUGCAAAUCUAUUAUCUCCUGUCGAAGUUGAUGUGUCUCCUGUUGAAUUUGAUAUGUGUUAGUAGCUAUUAAUUCAACUAUUUCUUCAAGAGACAUACCUGACAUAGAUGAUGAUUCUUGAAACUCAUACUGCAGAAAAUUCAUUGGCCCUGUUCUAUAAUUAUAACUGGAGUUAUCCCACCAUCGUUGAUCAUACCCGUUUGGAUUAGGGUUACACCACGUUUGAGACCAUGGUGAAAAAUCUCCAUAAUUAUUGAGUGGGACACUCAGAUUAUCUUGAUAUUCGGGGCACAUACCGGUCGAAUGAUCCCUGGCAUAACAAAUUUCACAGGUUGCAGCAGCCAUUCUUUAUCUAAUAGAGUUUAGUGCCUCUAAAUAUGCAAACUUAGAAAAAAAAUCAGUCUCAUUGCCUUCCUCGGAAACAAAAUCCAGUAAAUCACCAAAAUACGGAGUGUUAGAAGCCAUAAACUAUAUAAUAAAAAAUAAGAGAAAAAUAAAUAAAUAAAAAUAAAAACAAGAUGAGCUCAAAUAGAAACAAAUUAAUCUGGCACCAGUCCCCGGCAACGGCGUUAAAAAUUGACAGGUGUCGAACCUGUACAAUAAUAAUAAAUAGAACCUAACUACCACCAAAAGUAGCCAAUAAUUAAUUUUAGGUACUGGAGCAGGGACUCUAGGUGUGCAAUGGGUUACUUGAUUCACCCUAUUCCCGAAGAGUUUGCUUAACCCGAUAUACCCGAAUUAAUUAUCUGACUAAAUUUACUAACUAGUAGACAGUGGCAAGCAGGGUCGUCUCCUCAGGGACUAGCAAGAUAUUUUGUUUCUUUUCAAAUCAAGAUUAAUGGGGGGGUUUUGGUAUCAAAUGCCAAAAAUAAAGUAAUUGCAGAAAAUAAUUAAUUUAAAGAAAUAAUUGGAGAAACUCUAGCCAAGGGUACACUUCAGAAAUGGUUCAUGCACUGAUCAUUGAAUCACAGAUAAUUCCAACAUUUAUUAAUAGAUUGGUUAUAGUUGUCUCGCACGCGCUAAACAACCAACCCUUCCUUAAUUUAUCGAUAGUUAAGGUACGACCGUUAGCUAUUUCUCUAACCCAAAAACAACCGUAGGAUUUAAUUUCUAGAUUGUAUUAAUAAUUAGAAAGAUCCAAUCCUAACUAACAAACACGCUACGAGGGUUUGUUUAAGUUAGAUCGUAUGCUCCCCUGACAUAAUCCCAAUUACGCCUGUUGCUACUAAGGUAGACAUAACGAACAAUUACGGAUUCAAUUACCUCUAUUUAGCAAAAUAGCCUACGUGAAUAAUCAAUUAUUGCGCACUAAUCAAUCAUACAUAAGGCUAUAACAAUUAAAAUCAGGGAACAUAUAAAUACCAAUAAAUGAAGAAAAUAAUUAAAAACGGCUUAGAUCUCACAGUAAUCGUUGAACCAAUUCGUCAGUUGAUCCCUCGGCUAGAAUUAGGGACUUAGUUCCCCAUAAUUAGAGAACAGGCCGUGCGUGGGAAGUUUGGAGAAAUUGUUGGAUUUGCUCGUUCGAUUUCGGCCAACAGAAUGAAGAACGGAACGAAGGGAAUCGCCACUCUCUAUUGCUUCCAAUCACAAUCAUGCGAUGGAAACCUGAUGCUCUCUGCCAAUCCGGUCCAGGCUACGAGAAAAGCAAAGAUCCGCAGGUCCACAAUCGCGACUGGACUUCCACUCGUUACCAAAGAAAGGAAAAGUCAACACAGCAGCCCUUCCUCUCAAUGGUUUACAAUAGCCUACGAGAAUGUCUUUUUCUUAUUCCUUCCAUUCGGUCACAAUAAAGACAAGCAAUUCCCAAGGUCACAAGCAAUGGCAUUUUGUCUCCUUAUUGCUUACGAGAACCACGGCCAACCCAAUUCAAUUGAUAGAUUGGAAAAUAGCAAUUGCUCAAGUCAACAGAAGAUGAAAAGCAAUACUAGAAAAUGUCAACAAUGGUGGCUUUGUUCUCCCCCCCUUUACAAAGCUGCGGGGUCCGCCUUUUAAACGCAUCCCCCCUAAACCUAAGUCACGCGAGAAUACUUAAUUCUUCCUCGGUUGUGGUCCCCAGUUCCAGGAAGGGAUUUUUCCUUUUUU
rnacentral:lncRNA from 1 species